CAACAUCGAGGUCGCAAUCAAUUUUAUCAAUAAGAACUCUCCAAAAUUAUUACGCUGUUAUCCCUAAAGUAACUUAUUUUAUUAAUCAUUAAUAAUGGAUCAUUAAUUCAUAGAUUAAUGUUUAAAAAUUUUUAAAAGUUAUAUAAAUUUUAAUAUCACCCCAAUAAAAUAAAUAUUUUAUUAAUAAAAUUUAUAAAUCAAUAAAUUUAUAAUAAAAUUAUUAUAAAGAUUUAUAGGGUCUUCUCGUCUUUUAAAAACAUUUUAGCUUUUUGACUAAAAUAUAAAAUUCAAAUAUAAUAUUUAGAUGAAACAGUUAAUAUUUCGUCCAACCAUUCAUUCCAGCUUUCAAUUAAAAAACUAUUGAUUAUGCUACCUUUGCACAGUUAAUAUACUGCGGCCAUUUAAAUUUUCAGUGGGAACGUAAGAC
rnacentral:rRNA from 1 species